GCGAUCCUCUCACUUCAACCUCCUGAGUAGCUGGGACUACAGGGCUUCUUCGCUGGAAUGAGGAAGAGGAGGAAGCCAAGGAAGACAGAGACUGUGGCAUCAGUACGGUAGCCUUUCCUAGUAAAGAGACAAGCAUAGCUGAGGAGAAGGGUCAGGAAUUUUCAGGAGUAACAUGAUGUCUCGGAGCAGUCUGUCCGAACACAGUGCCUCUUUUUAGGACUUAUCUAGAGGUGGAAUCACUGACUUUGCACAACUUGGGGACAGUACGUUUAUCAUGUGGACUCCAUUGGCUGACAGCGACUUGACUUUGCCAAUUCUGUACCUACACGGGUAACUGCCUCUGGGGGUGGCAACUUGCUGACUGAUGUAAAUAGGGAGGAGUGGAAAUGUGAGAGGAUAAAAAUUCUUGCAGAUAGUACACAGAGAUUUUAAAGAGCCACAGAGUCUCCAUAUGAUGUGACGAAAUGCCACUGUGUGCCUGGGAGGUUGAGUGUAGGGGCAAGAUUAUUACUGAGUUAGGGGGUGGAUUAAGCUGUAGUUAUCAGACCUGUUUGACAAUCUGGGAGACAGGAACAUGCUUUUAAGCAUAACCUAUAGUCAUCUAAAUGACUCAUACUGAGAACCAAUACUAUAUUAUUUAUUUAUACUCGUGUUGACUCCCAUAGGAGUCAGGGCAGCUUACAUAAAAUACAGCAAGAAAGUUGUAAACUAGAAGGAGGUGAGCAGGAUAUUCCAAAAGGGAAGGUACAGGCAGGGGAAUCCAAAUGGAACAUUGCUGAAGCUAACACAAAACUCAACCUUGACACCGUAACACAUUCCCCGAGGGUGGGACUCCCUCCCGCAUCACAGUCAAAUGCAGUGUCUCUAACUGGGUCUGUGGUCUGAACUGAUGACAAAAACUCAGGGUGGAUGGGAGGAAACAUUCCCGUCUCCUUCAGUGACAAAGGAGAAGACAGCCACUUCCGGUCCAGCCUGUUCCCUGAUACACAGGAAACAGGUUGGGAAACAAUUUCUCUUGGUCCAUCCUGUUUUACCUGAUGGGCCCCUAUAUGUUGUAAGCUGCUGCCCUUGCAGCCUAGGUCAAUGGGUAAAUUCUUUGGAUAAUGAUAGCAAGGUCACAGGUUUAAAUCUCUACUCCAUGAUCACAGGCCCUCUCCCUGGACGGGUCCUAUGGCUCUGGUGUCAGCCCGACCCUUUGGUAAAAAAACAGCUGAAGUGGACAUCCCGCAGUGACCUGAGACCACUGUCCUGGUGGCACACUGGGAGCUAGAAGGAUGCCCUAUGUCCUGGCAUCCCAAAU
rnacentral:lncRNA from 1 species